CCUACGGGAGGCAGCAGUGGGGGAUAUUGCACAAUGGGGGAAACCCUGAUGCAGCGACGCCGCGUGGGCGAAGAAGUAUUUCGGUAUGUAAAGCCCUAUCAGCAGGGAAGAAGAAAUGACGUUACCUGAGUAUGAAGCACCGCCUAAAUACGUGCCAGCAACCGCGGUAAUACGUAUGGUGCAAGCGUUAUCCGGCUUUACUGGGGGUAAAGGGAGCGCAGGCGGCACGGCAAGCCUGUUGUGAAAGCCCGCGGCCCAACGGCGGGACUGCAUGGGGUACUACCCGGCUAGAGUGCCGGAGAGGUAGGCGGAAUUCCUAGUGUAGCGGUGAAAUGCGUAGAUAUUAGGAAGAACACCAGAGGCGAAGGCAGCCUACUGGACGGUGACUGACGCUGAGGGUCGAAAGCGUGGGGAGCAAACAGGAUUAGAUACCCCAGUAGUC
rnacentral:rRNA from 1 species